rnacentral:rRNA from 1 species
AGUGAACGCUGGCGGUAGGCCUAACACAUGCAAGUCGAACGGCAGCACAGUAAGAGCUUGCUCUUACGGGUGGCGAGUGGCGGACGGGUGAGGAAUACAUCGGAAUCUACUUUUUCGUGGGGGAUAACGUAGGGAAACUUACUCUAAUACCGCAUACGACCUACGGGUGAAAGCAGGGGAUCUUCGGACCUUGCGCGAUUGAAUGAGCCGAUGUCGGAUUAGCUAGUUGGCGGGGUAAAGGCCCACCAAGGCGACGAUCCGUAGCUGGUCUGAGAGGAUGAUCAGCCACACUGGAACUGAGACACGGUCCAGACUCCUACGGGAGGCAGCAGUGGGGAAUAUUGGACAAUGGGCGCAAGCCUGAUCCAGCCAUACUGCGUGGGUGAAGAAGGCCUUCGGGUUGUAAAGCCCUUUUGUUGGGAAAGAAAAGCAGCAGGUUAAUACCCCGCUGUUCUGACGGUACCCAAAGAAUAAGCACCGGCUAACUUCGUG